AAUGGGCGAAGUCUGAUGGAGCACGCCGCGUGCAGGAUGAAUGCCUUCGGGUUGUAAACUGCUUUUAUAUGUGACGAAUAUGACGGUAGCAUAUGAAUAAGGAUCGGCUAACUCCGUGCCAGCAGCCGCGGUAAUA
rnacentral:rRNA from 1 species